GCCAGCUUGGUGUAGUGGUUUGAACAUUGGAUUACAGCUCUGGAGAUCAGGGUUUGAUUCACCAUUUGGCC